ACAUAAAAGAAGAAAAGCAAGAAAAAAGUGUAGGAACUUUGCUGUGUUAGUAGAUCUUCAUAUUUUGCCUCAAGGCUCAAGAAAAGAAACCAGCUGGUUUUCAGAACAGAUGAAAAAGGAUAUAGGCUUCACAUAACAGCUUAUUUCAUCAAAAGAGGGAUUCACCUUCAUUAUAUUGUGGGGAAACUGAAUUAUGGUAAGUGGCGCGCUCUGUGCAUUCUAUUCCUUUUCGUACCAUCACUUUCCUCCAGAAAAGAAAUA
rnacentral:lncRNA from 1 species